AGCAGAGCUCGAAGAUGGUCUGUUUGAUGAUUUUCUUGAACUAGCUCUUCAGUUUGGGAUGAUCAUGAUGUUUGCUUGCGCCUUUCCAUUGAUAUUCUGCUUUGCUGCUCUGAACAAUGUAACAGAAAC